UGCAAGUCGGACGGGAUUGGAGAGCUUGCUUUCCAUGAGAGUGGCGCACGGGUGCGUAACACGUAUGUAACCUACCCUUGUCAGGGGGAUAGCCUCUCGAAAGAGAGAUUAAGCCCGCAUAACAUUAAGCUGUGGCAUCACAGUUUAAUCAAAUAUUUAUAGGACAAGGAUGGGCAUGCGGAACAUUAGCUAGUUGGUAAGGUAACGGCUUACCAAGGCUACGAUGUUUAGGGGAUCUGAGAGGAUGACCCCCCACACUGGUACUGAGACACGGACCAGACUCCUACGGGAGGCAGCAGUAAGGAAUAUUGGUCAAUGGGCGGAAGCCUGAACCAGCCAUGCCGCGUGCAGGAAGGCGGCCCUACGGGUUGUAAACUGCUUUUAUACCGGAAUAACCCUCGAUACGUGUAUCGGGCUGAAUGUACGGUAAGAAUAAGGAUCGGCUAACUCCGUGCCAGCAGCCGCGGUAUACGGAGGAUCCAAGCGUUAUCCGGAUUUAUUGGGUUUAAAGGGUGCGUAGGUGGCUUUUUAAGUCAGGGGUGAAAGACGGUAGCUUAACUAUCGCAGUGCCUUUGAUACUGAAGAGCUUGAAUGAACUAGAGGUAGGCGGAAUGUGACAAGUAGCGGUGAGAUGCAUAGAUAUGUCACAGAACACCAAUUGCGAAGGCAGCUUACUAUGGUUUUAUUGACACUGAGGCACGAAAG
rnacentral:rRNA from 1 species